rnacentral:rRNA from 1 species
ACCCCAGGUCAGUAGGGAUUACCGGCUGAAUUUAAGCAUAUAAAUAAUUGGAGGAGAAGAAACUUACAAGAAUUCCCCUAGUAAAGGCGAGCGAACCUAGAGCAGCCCAGCAUUAGAAUCGGACGACAUAAACCCCACCUGAAUUGUAGUCUGGAGAGGCAUCCUGGGAGGGUGAGAGCCCCGUACGGCUUGGACCCUGUCACACGAUGAGGUGCUGUCAAAGAUUCGGGUUGUUUGGGAAUGCAGCCAUCGGGCCGUAAGCUCCAUCCAAGGCUAAAUACAGGCGAGAGACCGAUAGCGAACAAGUACGGUGAAGGAAAUAUGAACAGGACUUUGAAAAGAGAGUCAAAGAGUGCUUGAAACUGUUGGGAGGGAAGCGGUUGGGGCUGCAGAAUGGCUAAUGCUGGUCCACCGCUUGGCUCGAGGGUUGGACUGUUGUUGGCUGCAUCGACAACCAAAGCCCAGGGGCCUUAUGUGCCCUUGGCAGCCGUCGUUGGUGCAGCCAGUAACUGCGUGCCACGAGGCGUCUCCUUCGGGAUGCUGCACUGCAACAGCCUGCGGGCUCCUCAUCUGACCCGUCUUUAAACACGGACCAAGGAGUCUGACAUGCGUGUGAGUUGACGGGUUUUGAAACCUGGGAUGUGUAAGGAAGCUAACGAGUGGGAGGCCCUAACGGUCCGCACCAGUGGCCGACCCUAAUCUUCUCUGAUAGAUGGUGAACUAUGCCUGAGCUGGGCGAAGCCAGAGGAAACUCUAGCGGAGGCUUGAAGCGAUACGGACGUGCAAAUCGUUCAUCUGACUUGGGUAUAGGGGCGAAAGACUAAUUGAACCAUCUAGUAGCUGGUUCCCUCCGAUGUUACCCUCAGGAUAGCUAGAGCCCAUUAUGAGUUCUAUCGGGUAAAGCCAAUGAUUAGAGGCAUCGUGGAUGCAACGCCCUUGACCUAUUCUCAAACUUUAAAUAGGUAGGAUGGCACGACUUCUUCAGUGAGCCGUGCCGCAAAAUCGGGAGGUCCAAGUGGGCCAUCUUUGGUAAGUAGAACUGACGAUGCAGGUUGAACCGGAAGCCGGGUUAUGGUGCCGAAUUGCACACUAACCUAAACCCACAAAGGCUAUUGGUCGAUUAAGCCAGCAGGACAGUGGUCAUGGAAGUCGAAAUCUGCUGACGAGUUUGUAACAAGUCACCUGCUGAAUUAACUAGCCCCGAAAAUGCAUGGCGCUAAAGCGCGUGACCCACACCCAGCCAUCUAGGCAAGUGACAUGCCUUGAUGAGUAGUAUUAGGGCGCGGCGAUCACUGCAAAACCCAGAUCGCGAGCCUGGGCAGAGCGGUCAUCGAUGCAGAUCUUGGUGGUAGUAGCAAAUAUUCAAAUGGGAACUUUGAUGGCCGAGGUGAGAAAGGUUCCAUAAACGACACUUGCACAUGGGUAAGCCCCGACAGACAGCGCGAUGACGCGCUUCACCCGAAAGGGAAUCGGGUUAAGAUUUUCUGAGCCGGGACGUUGUGAUUGACAGCAACAUUAGGAAGUCCAGAGACACCGGUCGGAGCCUAGGGAAGAGUUAUCUUUUCUACUUAACGGCCCGACAACCCUAGAAACGGUUCAGCUGGAGGUAGGGUCUAGCGGUCGGAAGAGCACCGCAUGUCGCGUGGUGUCCGGUGCGCCCCUAGCGGCCCUUGAAAAUCCGGAGGACCGAGUACCAUCCACACUCGAUCCUACUAAUAACCACAUCAGGUCUCCAUGGUGAACAACCUCUGGCCAAUGGAACAAUGUAGGCAAGGGAAGUCGGCAAAAUGGAUUCACAACUUUGGGAAAAGGAUUGGCUCUGAGGAUUGGGCUCUGGGGUCCCGGCCCCAAACCCAUCAGCUGCGGCGGCCUGCUUGAGCUGCUCACGCGGCGAGAGCGGGCCACCGCGUGCCUUUCUAGGGACGGACCAUGAUCGAAUCCCUCUAGGGCCUUCCCCGGGUGUCGAACGGUUGACUCAGAACUGGUACAGACAAGGGGAUUUUGACUGUUUAAUUAAAACAAAGCAUUGUGAUGGUCCCCGUGGAUGCUAACGCAAUGUGAUUUCUGCCCAGUACUCUGAAUGUCAAAGUGAAGAAAUUCAACUAAGCACGGGUAAACGAUAGGAGUAACUAUGACUCUCUUAAGGUAGCCAAAUGACUCGUCAUCUAAUUAGUGAUGCGCAUGAAUGGAUUAACGAGAUUCCCACCGUCCCUAUCUACUAUCCAGCGAAACGACAACCAAGUGAAUUGGCUUGGCGGAAUCAGCGGGGAAAGAAGACCUUGUUGAGCAUGACUCUAGUCCGACUUUAUGAAAUGACUUGAGAGGUGUAGGAUAAGUGGGAGCCUUCGGACGCAAGUGAAAUACCACUACUUUUAACGUUAUAUUACUUAUUUCAUGAGUUGGAAGCGGGGCAUCACCCCUUCUUUUGGCUCCAAGGCCUGCCUUGUUGGGCCGAUCCGGGCGGAAGACAUUGUCAGCUGGGGAGGUUGGCUGGGACGGCACAUCUGUCAAAAGAUAACGCAGGUGUCCUAAGAUGAGCUCAACAAGAACAGAAUUCUCGUGUGGAAAAAAAAGGUAAAAGCUCGUUUGAUUCUAAUUUCUAGUAUGAAUAUGAACCGCAAAGCGUGGCCUAUCGAUCCUUUACAAUUUCGGAGUUUGAAGCUAGAGGUGUCAGAAAAGUUACCACAGGGAUAACUGGAUUGUGGCAGCCAAGCGUUCAUAGCGACGUUGCUCUUUGAUCCUUCGAUGUCGACUCUUCCUAUCAUUGUGAAGCAGAAUUCACCAAGUGUUGGAUUGUUUACCCACCAAUAGGGAACGUGAGCUAGGUUUAGACCAUUGUGAGAUAGGUUAGUUUUACGCUACUGAUGACUGUACCGCGAUAAUAAUUCAACCUAGCACGAGAGGAACUGUUGCUGAACUGUUGCUUCACACAAUUGGUCAACGUGCUUGGUUGAAAAGACAGUGCCAUGAAGCUACCACGUGUCCACGGGCGGAUGUACGCAGAGAGCGCUGGGUGAGGCCGCACCCAUGCCAAUUUAGGAAAACUGUUAUGGUAAUCAGAAUUUUGACCGUAUCCGCACCCCCUGGCCCAAAGUGCUGCACCCAAAUCCCAGCUCGUGAGAGAAAAAGAGAGCCCACAACUGUAAAUACGAAGAGGCAAUCCAACAUCGCACAACCCACGCCCGUCUGAUUA